CAUUUAACAACAGUAGUAAAGGGAGUAAUGGAGCUUUUGUAGGCGUAGUUUAUUCUGCAGUAUUCGGGUUUCGGGUUUAUAAAGUUAUUUCAGCGUCCUACCUAGACAGUGUUACUUUUAGGGGUCUGCAUUUUAAGGUAGUGAAAUAAGUGGAUUUUGUAUUAUUUUCAAUGUGACUACUUAUAGUUGAGUGACAGGACAAACUCAGGAGGAAUCGUCUCCCCUUUACAUUGCUGAAGAAGCUAAAGUGUCGAGAUGCACAAGAGUCGCGCGGCGUCGUACGAUGGCAAGAUCGCAGGACUGUACGACCUGGAGGCGACGCUGGGCAGUGGACACUUUGCUGUGGUCAAGCUGGCGCGCCAUGUCUUCACAGGCGAGAAGGUUGCGGUCAAGGUCAUCGAUAAGACGAAGUUGGACGACGUCUCCAGAGAUCAUCUGUUCCAAGAGGUGCGAUGUAUGAAGCUGGUGCAACACCCGAACGUUGUGCGGCUUUACGAGGUGAUAGACACACAGACCAAGCUCUACCUCAUACUGGAACUGGGCGACGGAGGCGACUUGUACGACUACAUCAUGCGACACGAGGCAGGACUGAGUGAGGGAGUGGCGCGUGAGUACUUCCGUCAGAUAGUGCGUGCCAUCUCUUACUGCCACAAGCUGCACGUCGUACAUCGGGACUUGAAACCGGAGAAUGUGGUGUUCUUCGAGAGGGUCGGGGUGGUUAAACUGACAGACUUUGGUUUCAGCAAUAGAUUCUGUCCUGGCCAGAAGCUGGAGACUUCUUGUGGAUCUCUUGCUUAUUCAGCGCCGGAGAUUCUCCUCGGAGAUUCUUACGACGCUCCCGCAGUCGACGUCUGGUCGUUGGGAGUCAUACUGUACAUGUUGGUGUGUGGCCAGGCUCCCUUCCAAGAGGCUAAUGACAGCGAGACGCUCACUAUGAUCAUGGACUGCAAGUACACUGUGCCAAGUCACGUCUCUGAUGGCUGCCGCAGGCUGAUAGGCCGGAUGUUGGUGAGGCAGCCGGAGAAGAGGGCCACUCUGGAGGAGAUAGCCAGUGAUUCGUGGCUGGUAGAGGGAGAUACGGGUCAAGACCUGUCCAUGCCUCUAGUAUCCAGACAACAACUGUCAGAUGAGGACCAUACCCUCAUAGUGCAGAAGAUGGUCAACGGAAAGAUUGCUACCAAAGAGGAAAUAUUGGAUGCGCUGGAUAAAAACGAGUACAACCACAUAACGGCGACCUACUUCUUGCUGGCCGAGAGGAAACUGAGGUCGCAGGAGCCGAAGCAAGUCAAGAGCCCGGGGGUGUGUGCGCCGAGUGUGCGGGUGGACUCGUGUGAAGGUUCGACGCCGGUCGUUGCACCUGCGCCCACGUCCGUCGGACUGCUGAGGUCGGCCGAGCGAGCGCGCAAGUGCAGCAUCGUGGCGGAAGAGGAGGACGACGAAGAUGACCGAGGCAGCUGCGGAAGUCACUCCUCUUUGAGCCGUCGUGGCAGUCGCAGUGAGGGUAAACUGCAUCUGGCCGUGCAGGAGCUGCGGAGGGAAGCAGUACCAGUCAAUAUCAUCACUGAGGCGUCCACGGCACCCAGUCCUCUCCACACGUCGGGACACGCUCCAGUAAGGUCAGUCAAGACACUUCCUGCUCCUCUCCCCACCGCACUCAGCUCACCUCAGAUAGGUCUGGGCGAGAUCUCCGAGGAAGGGAAGGAGGGGCAGGCCAAGCCCACAGGCACGCCGCGCUUCACAGCCUACGAACAACGGAGAAACAAGUUCCGCAAGACUCGGACUGCGUCGUGUAGCUCGUCUGACGCCAGCGACGAAGACUCUGAGGGAAGAAAGAAACGUGGGAGUACCAAGUCCCUACACAGAGGGAGAGAUCCCCAGGAUCCGGGGGGAAGUGGGGGAGGUUCCGGAGGGACAGGUGGAGCUCCACCUCCGGGGGGAAGUGCGUCAGGGGGAGCAGGUAACUUCCCGCCAGCCAGUAAGGGUCUAGGAGGUGCUGGACCGGGCCAGGGAGGCCCCACUCAAGGUCAUCGCCAGUGUCUCAACAGCCGUCACCGUCGCAGGGCCGGGGAAACACGACUAAGGGAGAGUCAGAGUCUCAACAGGAUUACUGAGGUUCAGGAAGGAGAGCCGCCGGUGUCACCCAAACUACCGCCUAGCCCUGUAGAGCGUGAUGCUGCAGAGGUGAGGAAACACCAGUCCAAGCGUAACGCUCUCAUCGGCCGAUACCUCAGUCUGCAGCGCAAGCUGUGCGUGUGGAGCCGCGGCCGCGUACGCAAGGACAUCAACCAGAACCUCGGCUCUGCGGCAGUCGCGGUACGUGUCAUUGACUUCAGUUCUAGAGGUUGAGUUCAUAAAUGUCGCAAAGGUUGCAGCUUCCAUCGGGAUGUGUCACCUGCAUUCUCACAUGGGAGGUGAUACCAAAUGCUGCAAUCUCUGCUGACACAAUAUUAACGACUGAGCCGUGGUGGGGACGUUGUAGGUCUGAGUUGUUUGUUCUCUGCUGGUCGGCUGACUCCAACCCAGAUCUCCGAGUCUCACUACGGCCAACACGACAGAAUCAAAUCUAUUCCAAAGUCUUGUGUCAUCUUCGUAAGUCACCACCAAAGCAAUAAUAAUAGUUGGAUUUCCGUCGCCUUUUUGUUCGUUUUGAACUUUGGUUACGAUAUUGAUCGUCAAAAUUUUAAACACAACCAAAGCUGUAAUUUUAAGGUUAUCGCUUUAAACGUGUCUUAAGUAAUUUAUUAAUGUUAUUUAAUGUUAAGUCCAUUCUGUAAAAUAUUUGUACAUAUAAUUUGCAUUUGUUUGUUAUGUUUUUUAAUAGUUUACAUUUUACAUUUAUAUCCAUCCGUUUCACUGUAGUUGAUAUUUAAGUGUUUAAUAUUUUUAGUCAUUUUUCUGUGUUUGUGUUAAGUCCAUCAAAUGUUAUCUGGAUUUGAAAAUGGUUUGCAAUGGUUUUACUGUUGACCAGUUUUAAUGGUUUCUAUACAAAUAGUAGAUUUAUGUAUAUUUCUGUUAUAAGAGUUAUCAAACAUUUAUAGCAAUUUAUAAGAUAUUUUACUAAAUAUUUAUUAUUAUACAUUUAUAUUCUAAAGAUGUGAAAUGAAAAAGUUAAAUGAACACUGCAAGUUCUUGUUUAAACAUUACAGGUUUUUAUUCCAAAUCCUACUAAACUGUCCACGGGCAACUGCCUAAAAAACGUUCAGAAACAUAAUAAAUAGUUUAUUAAUGUUAUAUAUAUUUUAUGAAGGUGCUGAGGUAUGUUGUUUUAGUUUGUCGAUAAUUUUUUUUUUUUUAUCAUACCCAACACUUAGCUAAAUUUUAUUCAAUUUGUUUAAAUAUGAGGUUUGUAUUAUCAAACAAUGAUCGGGAUGUUAUUACAUGGUCGUAUUUCCUUAUCAGCAGACACGGGGGUUGCCAAGGACCUCUUCCUGGAAGGGGUCUCAAAGAAAUUUAUUUACUCCUGAAAAAAGAAUUUGACCGAUAGUUGAUUAGAGUGUUUGAUUUCCGAGCCAAAUCGAUUAUCUCGAUCACUGAUAGUGUCUGUAAAUAUUGUGCCAUCGAAAAAUACUAUUUAGACAGUGAAGUCUGUGCGACCGCAAACGAUGAGACCUACAGAAAUAGCUUAGUCCCUAUAUGGGAAAUUCGUAAUUUUAAUAACAUAUAAUUUUAAAUAUAGAGUUUUUUUUAAUAAAUACUUAUUGAACAUUUAAAAUUUAUAUCAAGAGAUCUUAUUUAUUUGUAUUAAAUUGCAAUAUGAUAUGGAAAACCCCAAUUAGUGAUGUGUUGAAGCUAAAUCUUGGAUCUUGAAUUUAUUAAAUAUCAAAAAGGAAUUGAUGUUUAACCUUCAAAUCACAUGGCCAUUCUCAACCAACACACAAAAUUAAAUUGGAUAGGAAUGUUAAGACAAAGAAAUUGUGGAAUUUCGAGUUACAGUUUUAUUGUAGCUUCAUAAUAAUAAAUGAAAGUACCAGUGUCAAAUUUUUACAGCAUAUUCUUAGUAUUCCAAAACCCUGUAUAAGAGUUUGAGAUUUAAAAUUCUCAGAUUCAACCAUCACUAAAUCUAAUUGUGUGCAAUUUUUUAUUAUUUCAUAUUUAUAUAUAGUUUAUUUAACUUUUAUCAUGGUUUUAUUAUAAAAAGAUUAAAAAGAAGGCAUAUUAAAGGAGAUAGAGUUUAUAUACAUUAACUUUUUUAUGGUUUUACUAAGUUAAAUCACUAACUAAAAAAUCACUGGUUGAUGAAAUUGAACUCAAAAAGAAAUUUUAAUACAAUUGCAAGCCAUUAUUGGAGAAAUAGUGAGUAUCAAGUACUCAUUCAUUGUUUUUCUAUCUUAUCUUUUGGUUGCUAAAUUUUUUUAAUUUUUGAGAUUAAUUACAUUUUUUCAAAUGUAAAUUAUAAUCAAUCUGAGCAUAAACUAGUCAUUUAUUUUAGCACUAUUUUAUCCGUCAUAUACUUAAUAUAGUUUUAUUUUACACACAUAGUGGUAUUUAUGUAUGGUUUAUAUUCAUUUUCAUCUGUAUAAAGUCUCGAUCUCCAGGUUUUAUUCUGUUUGAGUCUUAUUUUGUCACUUUUCAGUUCUUUGUUAUUGUAUUCAUUU